GGCUCACAGCUGCCCUUGCUCCGACCCCAGAGGAGCUGUGUGGGAAGUUGGUGUCUCGGAGCCGCAGCGUGGCUCUGCCGAGUGUCUGGAGCCCGGGCUGUGCACACAAACUGAUAAAUAGGGAAAGGCCUGCUGGGCUGCAGCUGGAGCAGAGCUGGGACCGGCACGGGAGAGGAGCUCCUGCAAGCACCGUGAGUAUUUCAUUCCUUCUCUGCAUGCUCUGAGGUUAGAAAUUGCUGCUCAAGCUAUACUGCAGUUUGCCAUGUGAAAAUAUUCCAGGCACUGUGCUUUUUUUCUUCUUUACCUCCUUUUUUCUUUCUUUUUAAACAUCUGACUAAAUGAAAACAACAAACGUGCACUUUUAAAUCUCGUAUUUUCUACUGCCAAGGGUUUGUUCCAACAGUACUUCAUUUGACACACACAGUGAAGAAAAACAACUUUUAAAUUUAAUCAUUUGUUUCCCUUCCCAAAAGUACCUAGAAAAUUGUGAGUUUCAAGCAACCUCUAACCUCUUAUUUUAGCAUGUAUAAAAAUUAUGCUUUUGAAAUAAUUAUUCAUGGAAUAACAAUUCCAAAGGAAAAUUUCAAGAUAAUUGCAAUGUAGUCCAUUGGUAAAAUAAGCCAGUUCCUAUUAUAAUUAUUAUAUGGAAUAUAAUAACCAGGAAGGAACACAUUUAAUAAGAAGAAAAAUGGAAUUUCUUCAAAAAGGAGUUUGGGGAUCUUCUUGGCACAUUAAAACCAGGAAGAGCAGAAAAACCUUUAAUAAUGCAUGUAAGCUGCAUACAGGAUCAAUCAAGUGAUCCUACAAUUUUCCCUGCAAAAUCAUUAUUUAAUUAAGCAGUGAUUACUGAAUUGCUUGAGUGUAAUUAAAUAGAUUAGCUGGCAUCACACCUACUUGGCACUGAUUAUGCUCAGUUAUGGUUUUUUUUUCAGUUUUUGGCUUAAAUUUUCACAAAAUAAAAAAAAAAUAAGCUUUGCCUUCCAGCUGCAAGCAAAGUACAGCGAUUAAACCUGAGCCUGAAACGUGCUGAGUUCCACUACGUGACCACUAACGUGCCCCAAGGUGUGCUAAAUAGAUGGUGAAGACCUUCAGCUCAAGUUCCUAAAAUUCCCUGUAAACAAGAAAUUUCCCCAUGACUCAACUGUCAAAAUAUUUACGAUAGCAGCUAAAGCACUGUCAGUCCCAACCUCUGAAAGGGCUCCCUGUAGCUUUGCUACAUGAAGGAUGUUUUGUAUCCCAAUAAAUUUGAUAAGUUGAUGAUAUGUUGCUUUAUGAUAUGGGGUUUUAUAGCAAUAAAAAUGAUAAACCCCACAUCUUUCACCAUAAAUAGAAAUAAAUAGAUGUACAGUUCAGAUUCUAGUCUGAACGUGUACAUUCUAUUUAUAGUUCUACUUUACUUCUAUCAAUCAAUGGCUUUUUUUUUUUCUUUAGUGGAUCCCAUUUUUGAUAAGUUGUCAAGCAUUUCAGUUGGGACUAAGAACUAAAUUUCUGCAUGAGGUGGAUAACCAAGCCCUUGAACCAACAUGUUGUGGUUUAUACUGAACAUUUGUUGUUCAGAAGAUGAGCACUGGCAAAACUAAGCCUGUAAAAGCACAUUUUCAAACGUGCUUAAGCUACCUUGAGUGUAGGUCACCUUUUCCAAAAAACACCAUUCCCCUCACCUGCUCAGGACUUCACAAGUGAAAAUGCCCAGCAGUAGAAGGAGAAGCAGGAACAGCAUGUGCUUUACACAGAUGACAUUUUCUGUCAGCUCAGUCUCUGUGACUCAGGGCUCA
ensembl:lncRNA